rnacentral:rRNA from 1 species
AUUGAACGCUGGCGGCAUGCCUUACACAUGCAAGUCGAACGGCAGCACGGGGGCAACCCUGGUGGCGAGUGGCGAACGGGUGAGUAAUGCUUAGGAAUCUGCCUAUUAGUGGGGGACAACAUUCCGAAAGGAAUGCUAAUACCGCAUACGCCCUACGGGGGAAAGCAGGGGAUCUUCGGACCUUGCGCUAAUAGAUGAGCCUAAGUCAGAUUAGCUAGUUGGUGGGGUAAAGGCCUACCAAGGCGACGAUCUGUAGCGGGUCUGAGAGGAUGAUCCGCCACACUGGGACUGAGACACGGCCCAGACUCCUACGGGAGGCAGCAGUGGGGAAUUUUGGACAAUGGGGGCAACCCUGAUCCAGCCAUGCCGCGUGAGUGAAGAAGGCCUUCGGGUUGUAAAGCUCUUUCGGCCGGGAAGAAAUCGCACGGGCUAAUACCCUGUGUGGAUGACGGUACCGGAAUAAGAAGCACCGGCUAACUACGUGCCAGCAGCCGCAGUAACAC